rnacentral:rRNA from 1 species
UACGUAGGGUGCAAGCGUUGUCCGGAAUUAUUGGGCGUAAAGAGCUCGUAGGCGGUUUGUCGCGUCUGCUGUGAAAACUCGGGGCUUAACUCCGGGCCUGCAGUGGGUACGGGCAGACUAGAGUGCGGUAGGGGAGAUUGGAAUUCCUGGUGUAGCGGUGAAAUGCGCAGAUAUCAGGAGGAACACCGGUGGCGAAGGCGGGUCUCUGGGCCGAUAUUGACGCUGAGGAGCGAAAGCAUGGGGAGCGAACAGG